GAAAUGCGAUAAGUAGUGUGAAUUGCAGAAUUCAGUGAAUCAUCGAAUCUUUGAACGCACAUUGCGCCCCUUGGUAUUCCAUGGGGCAUGCCUGUUCGAGCGUCAUUUGUACCCUCAAGCUCUGCUUGGUGUUGGGUGUUUGUCCCCGCUUCUGCGUGUGGACUCGCCUUAAAGCAAUUGGCAGCCGGCAUAUUGGCCUGGGAGCGCAGCACAUUUUGCGCUUGCUGUCAAUUAUUGUUGGCGUCCAUCAAGUCUACAUUUUUAACUCUUGACCUCGGAUCAGGUAGGGAUACCCGCUGAACUUAA
rnacentral:misc_RNA from 1 species